rnacentral:misc_RNA from 1 species
GAAAAUCUCCGAUCUGAGAGCCUCUAUCGCUGAUUUUUCCGGUUUUGAAGUGCAAGCUGGGGUCCCAUAUUUUCCUGCAACUUUCAUGUAAUAAAGCACAUUUUAGUCUAUACCUGUCAGAAUUGUAUCGUGCAGUUCUGUAUUUGAUAUGAGCAAACCGCUGAUCCUAUGUGCGCGGUUUCUUAGAAGUGAACUUUGUUU